CCCCCUCCCGUAGGAAGGCAGGCGCAGGGCGGACAAUGCGCGUGCGGAAGGGACCAUGUGACUUCGACUGCUAGACCUCACAAUGCAGACCCAGUCGGCUCGAAGCUGCACCCGACCUUGAGGGACCUGGAUGGCUAUGAGGAGAGAAGGGCGGGCGUUUGUGGUGAUACUUAAGACCUCUGGAUCCUGAUUCAUCAGAUAUCAAAAUGGCGAGACUGGAAAGAACCCCGAGAUAACAAACGUACCUUAGCUUUCCCUGGAGGACAACUCUAACUGUUCGCAGAAGAGCCAGUCUUCCACCCAAGAGGAGCCAGUGACUCUCUUUGGCCAGUCAUAAAACAAGAGAAUUUCAGCUUGCUCUCAAAGAAUAUCAAAAUAGUCUGAGGAAAAAAAAAUAAAUAAAUAAAGUCUUAAGCUCUCAUAAGCACAUAACAGAUCUUCCCAUCUUUCCUGCGGCCUAUCAUUGGUUACUGCAUGGGCCGUUCUAAAAUUGGCUGAUAUAUCAAAGGGCCAGCAAGAGUAGCAGUGUAAACUGCUGGAAGGAGUAACUGUAACUGUAACUGUCCCUACCGGAUCAUAUCCCAGGGAGCUUCAUUAGACUGGUAAGUGCCCUUCUUGAAAGUGUGUUGGUUACAUUGCUUCUG